CAAGCAUUGGAAAUCGCUUUUGGAAAUAUUGCGGUGAAUGUGCUGAAAGCAUGAAAAGCUCAAGUCUGGCUCCAUUAUAGCUGAAGUCUUCUCCAGCAGCCCCAGACAACAGAGGUGCUGCUGGUGCAGAAGCCCAUUAACAGAUCCUGGUGCUGCCUGGCAUAUUGAGGAGCAUUUGUCAUCGUUUUGGCAAAGCAGGUGUCAUUCUGGAAAAAGGAAAAUACUGUGAAUCCCAGAACUGGAGAAUUUGGCUGUGACAGAUGAAAAAAAAAGAAAAAGAAAAAGUUUGCUUUAAAAUACAGCUUUUGAAGAAUACGCUACUCCAAAUAAAAACCAAGACGAGGUUGGCUGGUCUGCAAUGAAGCAGACUGUCAGAAUAUUUUCUCAGAAUCUUUGCACUUUGUGUAACAUAUUGCCAUUUAAUGAACAGAGGGCAGAGGAUAGCUGAAGCAAACCAAUGCCUGGUUAACGCUGUCUCCUGCCCUUUGCAGUUGUGUGUGUCACCUUCACCACUGUGAACUCUCCUCCCAUGAUGGCUGUCAAAUAGUGAUAAUCAUCAGUUUUUACGACGGGCUUUGGGCUUUACUUCCCCCAAAGGGCAUACACAGUUAAGGUGAUGAAUGCAAAUCUCAUUUAUUUUGUUAUAAGCUUGAAGUAAACUCAUUGAAGUAACUGAAAUCAGCAGAAUUGCUUCAGAUUGAGUCUGAAGUAAAGAUCAGUAGAGUUUCACUUUCUACUUUAUAAAUAAAACUUGGAGAAUCACGCAAUCAUUUUAAUGUCUAUUUUAACAGUUAUGUCACCCCUUAAGUGUUCACCUGCCUAUUAGAUGCAGAUUCCUUUAACAUAAAAGAGCAUAAUUUUGAUUUCUGAUAACCACACUGAGAAAGCUGUGCCAGAAUUACAAAGAAUCAAGACACCACUGGCUUAUUGCUCGAGGACUCCAGGUCUGCUGAGUCUGGUCUUCUGGCUGUUAAAACCAAACUUGCUGUAAAAUCCAUGCAGGAGUUGUACUGCCCACCUUGUAUUCCACUGGAGGUUUGUUCCAACCCAUUACAGUUCUGAUGAUUAUAGUGCUGUCUUUCAGACUAAAUUUCAUAGAAUCACAGAACGGCUUGGGUUGGAAGGGACCUUAAAGCUCACUCAGUCCCAACC
rnacentral:lncRNA from 1 species